rnacentral:snRNA from 1 species
GUGCUCACUUCAGCAGCAUAUAGACUAAAAUUGGAAUGAUACAGAGAAGAUUAGCAUAGCCCCUGCACAAGGAUGAUAUGCAAAUUCGUGAAGCGUUCUGUAUUUUU